rnacentral:lncRNA from 1 species
AUUGAAACAGAAUUAAAUGAAAUAAGAAAUUCCAUGAAAAACAUAUUGAAAAAAGAAGAUGUUAAAUUGAUAGUCACAGAAACUGUAACAAGCUUACUUACCCAAAUGAAAAAAGAGAUGAAAAAAGAAUUAAAAAAAGAAAUGAUGGUCGAAAUUCAAACUAACCAAGAGAAAGUAGAACAACACUUUAAAUCAGAGGUAUCUAGGCUAAGUGCAAGAAUUGAUAGCGUAGAAUUUGACAAUGCAAACAUUUUAGAAAAAAACGCAAGCCUUCAUAAAGAAAACAGACUACUGAACUGAAAGAAGAAAUUGAAAAUACGGGUAGGCGAGCAACUGAUGCAAUGCAAUUAUCUAAUUGGAAUGAACAAUAUUCAAGGAAGAAAAACGUUAAAAUAUUUGACUUUCCAGAAAAAAGGGGGGAAAAUUGCCUCACAAUUUUCUUAAUGAGAUAGGUAAACUGGACGUUAAAAUUGACCCAUCAGAAAUUGUAGCAGCACACAGGAUUCCUGGAAAACCGGGCAAACCUAGGCCAAUUCUAGUAAAAUUUCUCCGCAUGGAAUCUAAAAUUGCUUUACUCCGAAAUAGAAAACUAAUCAACGAGAAGCUGGAAGUUCGGAUUUCUGAUGAUGUCACAAGAUUAAACCAAGGACUUCUUAAUCGGUUAUACCUACAUGAGGAUGUUACCAGUGCGUGGUAUUUCAACGGACACAUAUAUGGCACUGACAAUAAUGGAGAACGACAUCGUUUUGACAUUUAUGACAACAUAAGGC